rfam:Schistocephalus solidus strain NST_G2 genome assembly, scaffold: SSLN_scaffold0003859
GGCCUCGUAGCUCAGUUGACUAAAUCGUUGGCUGUACUGAAGCCUUCCCCUUGAUGGUGUGGGUUCGAAUCCCACCGAGGCUU